AGGCCUAUUUAAAAUUCUAGAUUUCCGCCUUGUCAACUUGCCCGAGCGGUCCGGAGGCGAAACACAAGAAUGAUUCUCCAGGUGGUAAUGUAUGUGUGUUUAUUCCACACAUACAAAUCAAACACUUUACAACAAUAAUGAUGAUAAUAAUCCUCACAAUCCAAUACUCCAAUCUCCUUCCAAUACAAACUCCACAACUCGCUACCCCAACAAACAUUUCUCCGUCCCUUUUAUCCAUUUCCCCUUAAUCACAUGACUAAUUAGUUCAAACCAUUGAUAGGUGUUUUUACAUAUUUACACAUAUUAAUAAACCAUAAAUAUUUACAUAAAUACAUAAAUACAAUAUAUAGAAUAUAAACACCCAUUUACAAACCCAUAUACCAUUAAUAAACACCAACAAAUACAUACACAUGAAUAUAUGAACAUGAACCUAUUUACAUAACCCCACACAGACUCCCCUACUCCCACUUCCCACUUACUGCUGUCCUCCAGAACCAUACAUAAGGGCCACGUUCCCCGGGACCUGUUUUGACGUGACCCCAUGUGAAGACAGAGCAGCAGGUUGUGGCGGUUGAGCAGCGGCGGUUAGCAAGCGGACUACGAGGCGGACUGGCCCCGCGUCCCGUGCCAUGUGUCUCCGCCCCCGCUGGAAAUGCAUACCUGAAUAUGAUUAUCCAAUAAAUGUUCUUUCCACACAUCUCCUAUGCAUCCUUCUUACAAUAUGUGCAUGCAUAUGGGGGUAACGGCGAGCCCGUCGUUACACGCCUGGACAUCAAAAUGCUGAAACUUGUGCAGUGUUGCCCCAUUUUACAAUACAGAUAGACUUUUGAGUUCAUACCUUAUGUUUACAGGCUGAUAUUCACUUUAAAAUGUGGCAUUCUUUAGGUGGAGUGAUUUUUAAAUGUUCUACCUCCAUUUGCUCCUAUACUGUAACAGUCGCAUUCUGACACAUCUACAGACAUCCCAUGAGUGUAGGCUUUCAUUUGAUACCAAGUUUUUUGUAUGUGGUCCUUGUGGUUGUGGAGAUAAUCACCAUUUACUGUAGGUAUGUCGAGUUGACAUACAGAAAAUUUGCCUAAAAUGGCUUCCAAAAGUCACAAAAAAAACAAGGUUGUCAUCUCCUACCCCAACAUGUCCGCAAAAGUCUUAACAGAAGCACUUUUCAGAAUUGCCCCCGACUAUGUGUAGUCCUCUUAGUUUCUGCAUGUUUUGAAGAGACAAUAAUGAGCUCACAUUUACAGCGGGAUGAUUAAAAUGAUACAAACAAUCAGAUCAGUUUGUUUUAAUGUGCAAUAAACUGUUUCUAACUGAAUGAAGCCAGCAUCUGUUGAUCUGUGCUGCAUCAUACUUAGUGUCAGUAAAGCUUUCAUUUGAAUCACAUUAUUUACCAAGUUUAUAAAAAAUGUAUGUGGUAAGCACCAGAGGAGAAAUACAGGAAAAAAGGCUAAAUAAAUAAGUCCAUUCUAUUGAUUACAGGGUUUCAAGCCAUGUUUAUAUUUGGUUGGUCUAAUCAUUUUAGAAAGAGAUUGAGCUGCUUCCUCAGCUGCAGCAACACAUGCACACAAAACACAAUCAAAGAAGUCAGAGGUCAAAGUGUCAGUGUAUUUCAACCAUCAUCGCUCAUCUGGCCAACACUGACAGCUCCAGCUUGCAUACUGUUAGCAAAGACUGUGACAGAUGGAGGCAGGGGAAAUGUGUAGUGUCCCUACAGUACUGUACAACAGAUUCUGGUGUAUGCAGCUGGAUAUUACAUCUCCCCUCAGCUUGGUUUAUGAUAUACAUGGGGUAGACAAACUAGCAUGAACACCUAAUUCAAUGCUAUUGAAAAAAAAAAAAGCCCUGCAAUUCUUACCACCACUGCAAAGCUUCUAAUGGACACAA